AGCCCCUUAGUGUAGCGGUCCAUCAUGUGAGACUCUGGAUCUCGCGACGGCGGUUCAAAUCCGCCAGGGGCUACCA
rnacentral:tRNA from 1 species